GUGCCAGCAGCCGCGGUAAUACGGAGGGUGCGAGCGUUGUCCGGAUUUAUUGGGUUUAAAGGGUGCGUAGGUGGCUGUUUAAGUCAGUGGUGAAAUACGGUUGCUCAACAAUCGAGGUGCCAUUGAUACUGAAUAGCUUGAAAUAAUUGGAGGCUGCCGGAAUGGAUGGUGUAGCGGUGAAAUGCAUAGAUAUCAUCCAGAACACCGAUUGCGAAGGCAGGUGGCUACGAUUUGUUUGACACUGAGGCACGAAAGCAUGGGGAGCAAACAGGAUUAGAAACCCCAGUAGUCC
rnacentral:rRNA from 1 species